rnacentral:rRNA from 1 species
GCAGCCUGAUGCAGCGACGCCGCGUGAGGGAUGACGGCCUUCGGGUUGUAAACCUCUUUCAAUAGGGACGAAGCGCAAGUGACGGUACCUAUAGAAGAAGGACCGGCCAACUACGUGCCAGCAGCCGCGGUAAUACGUAGGGUCCGAGCGUUGUCCGGAAUUACUGGGCGUAAAGAGCUCGUAGGUGGUUUGUCGCGUUGUUCGUGAAAACUCACAGCUUAACUGUGGGCGUGCGGGCGAUACGGGCAGACUAGAGUACUGCAGGGGAGACUGGAAUUCCUGGUGUAGCGGUGGAAUGCGCAGAUAUCAGGAGGAACACCGGUGGCGAAGGCGGGUCUCUGGGCAGUAACUGACGCUGAGGAGCGAAAGCGUGGGGAGCGAACAGGAUUAGAUACCCUGGUAGUCCACGCCGUAAACGGUGGGUACUAGGUGUGGGUUUCCUUCCUUGGGAUCCGUGCCGUAGCUAACGCAUUAAGUACCCCGCCUGGGGAGUACGGCCGCAAGGCUAAAACUCAAAGAAAUUGACGGGGGCCCGCACAAGCGGCGGAGCAUGUGGAUUAAUUCGAUGCAACGCGAAGAACCUUACCUGGGUUUGACAUGCACAGGACGCCAGUAGAGAUAUUGGUUCCCUUGUGGC